GACGAACGCUGGCGGCGUGCUUAACACAUGCAAGUCGAACGGAAAGGCCCUGCUUUUGUGGGGUGCUCGAGUGGCGAACGGGUGAGUAACACGUGAGUAACCUGCCCUUGACUUUGGGAUAACUUCAGGAAACUGGGGCUAAUACCGGAUAGGAGCUCCUGCUGCAUGGUGGGGGUUGGAAAGUUUCGGCGGUUGGGUAUGGACUCGCAGCUUAUCAGCUUGUUGGUGGGGUAGUGGCUUACCAAGGGUUUGACGGGUAGCCGGCCUGAGAGGGUGGACGGGCACCAGGGGACUGAGAUACGGACCAGAAGGCUACGGGCGGCAGCAGUGGGGAACAUUGCACAAUGGGCGGAAGCCUGAUGCAGAAGCGCCGCGUGCGGGAUGACGGCCUUCUGGUUGUAAACCGCUUUCGCCUGUGACGAAGCGUGAGUGACGGUAAUGAGUAAAGAAGCACCGGCUAACUACGUG
rnacentral:rRNA from 1 species